rnacentral:rRNA from 1 species
UACGAAGGGGGCUAGCGUUGCUCGGAAUCACUGGGCGUAAAGCGCACGUAGGCGGAUUGCUAAGUCAGGGGUGAAAUCCUGGAGCUCAACUCCAGAACUGCCCUUGAUACUGGCGGUCUCGAGUCCGGGAGAGGUGAGUGGAACUGCGAGUGUAGAGGUGAAAUUCGUAGAUAUUCGCAAGAACACCAGUGGCGAAGGCGGCUCACUGGCCCGGUACUCGACGCUCAGGCA